AUUGAACGCUGGCGGCAUGCUUUACACAUGCAAGUCGAACGGUAACAGGCCGCAAGGUGCUGACGAGUGGCGAACGGGUGAGUAAUGCAUCGGAACGUGCCCAGUCGUGGGGGAUAACGCAGCGAAAGCUGCGCUAAUACCGCAUACGAUCUCUGGAUGAAAGCGGGGGACCGAAAGGCCUCGCGCGAUUGGAGCGGCCGAUGUCAGAUUAGGUGGUUGGUGGGGGAAAGGCCCACCAAGCCAACGAUCUGUAGCUGGUCUGAGAGGACGACCAGACACACUGGGACUGAGACACGGCCCAGACGCCUACGGGAGGAAGCAGUGGGGAAUUUUGGACAAUGGGCGCGAGCCUGAUCCAGCAAUGCCGCGUGCAGGAAGAAGGCCUUCGGGUUGUAAACUGCUUUUGUACGGAACGAAACGGUCCGGGUUAAUACCCUGGGCUAAUGACGGUACCGUAAGAAUAAGCACCGGCUAACUACGUGCCAGCAGCCGCCGUAAUAC
rnacentral:rRNA from 1 species